UGCUUAUCUAAGAUGGUGAGGAAAUUACUUUUAAAGAACGACCAGGCAUCCUCGACUGACAGGAUGAGGUCAAUAUCUUUCCAGGACACCCGGGCCACGUCGAUUAGAAAGGCCUGCUCGCAGAAGUGUUUUAGGGAGCAUUUGACAGUGAUGAGGGGUGGUCAUUUGUCCCAUAGCGGAUACAGGCAAGGAAAUCAGUCAAUUGAAAUAAAAUCAUUAGGCCCUAAUCUAUGGAUUUCACAUGACUGGGAAUACAGAUAUGCGUCUGUUGGUCACAGAUGCCUUAAAAAAAAGGUAGGGUUGUGGAAGAAAACCAGUCCGUAUCUGGUGUGACCACCAUUUGACUCAUGCAGCACGACACAUCUUCUUAGCAUAGAGUUGAUCAGGCUGUUGAUUGUGGCAUGUGGGAUGUUGUCCCAUUGUUCAAUGGCUGUGCGAAGUUACUGGAUAUCGGCAGGAACCGCAACACACUGUCGUAUAUCCCAACAUGCUCAAUGGGUGACAUUUCUGGUACCAUCGUCUUUUCUUUUGUGGAAUACAUGCCUUUACCCAGAUGAGGACCCCAUUCCAUUCUUAGCAACGCUGGCCCAUCUCAACUACUGACCUGUCUUUUUGUUUGUCUCUGGUUUGGUCCGACUGCGCUCUGAGCUGUGCCUGGUGACGGAUGCUAAGCACUCGGCCAACAUGACGGCGCUGACUCUCUGCCGCCUCUACAGCCUGUCCAUCCAGGCCUUCUGGACCGUGCUGCAGAGGUUCCCUAAGCAAGAGGCCCACAUCAGCCAUGUGGCCCUCCAGCACCCCACAUCCUGCUCCAACCUUCUCUGUGACAGUCACUAAGUCCUCCGUCUGUCCACACUGCAGCAUCUGGUCUUA
rnacentral:lncRNA from 1 species